rnacentral:rRNA from 1 species
CAAUAGCGUAUAUUAAAGUUGUUGCAGUUAAAAAGCUCGUAGUUGGAUUUGUGGCGUACGGUGGGUUCCGGGCACUUGUUGUCUGAGUAACUUGCUGUUGCCAUCCUUGGGUGGAACCUGUGUGGCAUUAGGUUGUCGUGCAGGGGAUGCCCAUCAUUUACUGUGAAAAAAUUAGAGUGUUCAAAGCAGGCUUAUGCCGUUGAAUAUAUUAGCAUGGAAUAAUGAGAUAGGACUUUUUUGCUAUUUUGUUGAUUUGCGCAAAGAGGUAAUGAUUAAUAGGGACAGUUGGGGGUAUUCGUAUUCCAUUGUCAGAGGUGAAAUUCUUGGAUUUUUGGAAGACGAACUACUGCGAAAGCAUUUACCAAGGAUGUUUUCAUUAA